rnacentral:rRNA from 1 species
AAGCUGAACGUAGAUGGAACACAGUAUGUGGUCACUGAAUAUUUUGACGAGCACAACCACAAACUCAUAAAGAAGUUCGACCUGGUCAAAUUUCUGACCGCCCACAGAGGAUUCACCCCAGUCAAAAGGCAAUUCGUAAAGCUGCUACAUGAUUGUAAUGUCGGUCCAUCAAGAAUGGUCCAGAUACUAUCACUCAUCCACAGCAAAAAGGGGAAACUGAGUAGCAUGCCGUACAUACCGGCUGACAUCACAAACCUACAGGCCAAGUACCAUAGAGAGAGCAGGCUGGCUGACAUAGAGGCUACAAUUGCCUACUUCGAUGAGAAAGCAAAAGAAGAUCCAGAUUUCUUCUACAGGAUAAGGUUGGACGAUGAGGACCGUGUCAGGAACAUGUAUUGGGUGGAUGGUGCUGCAAGGAGAGCCUACAAACAUUUCCGAGAUUGCAUUUCAUUCGACGCGACGUACCUCACCAAUUUGUACAAGAUGCCAUGUGCUCCGUUCAUAGGAAUAAAUAACCACAACAUGGAUGGGUACGUCUGGUUGUUCAAGACCUUCUUGGAGUGUAUGGAUGGACUUGCGCCAAUGAACAUAAUAAUAGACCAGGAUUUCAGCAUGCGUGCAGGCAUAGAGGAGGUCUUUCCGUUGGCAGUGCACAGGCACUGCAGGUGGCACAUUAUAAAGAAGGCUGAGGAGACGUGUCGGUGUCAAAACCGGACUACGCAGCGCAGCGAGGGGUUCAAUGCUGUUUUGUUCGAACGGGACGACAUUGUGUGUUGUCACAUACUAAAGGUAAUGGACAUGAACGCUGUGACACGGAUGCCCCACCAUUUCAUAAGGCAGCGAUGGACUUGGGACGCUGACGACGCGUUGGCGCCGCAAACAACACACGCGGUUCUGGCUGUGCAUGACGAGAGACCUGAGUCAACCAUGGAAGCCGUGAGGCACAUUGUGCUCACAAAGAACUAUGCUGAGCUAAUUGAUGAAGCGUGCAAGAGUGAUGAGACAGCGAGAGUCGCAGAAAAUCAUAGGAAGGCACUUAAAAGAGAGCUUGAGGAGAUCAAGAAGAGGAAAGCCGAGGAAGCCUUACACCGGUUCCCCCGCACAUCAAGUGUGCCUUCAUUGACGGGGCCAUCAUCUGAAAACUCGGAGAUAGGAUCUAGAACAGCAAGCACACAAACCCAGGUCAGGAAUCCACCCCGUUCAAUCACAAAGGGUCGCCCCAGAGAGAUAAGGUACAAGUCAGGAUUGGAGAUUCAAGCAAAACACAAGAAAACGAAAAAAGGGGCGGGCAAUCCAUGA